ensembl:lncRNA
AGGAAUUAUCACAUUUGUUUUCUUAUUAAUUGUAACCUCUGUUGUGCACUUUGCCAAAAAAUAAAAGUUUUUCAUUUGAUUAGGAUAAAUUAAAUAGUUUUAUGCCUUCAUCUGAUUACCAGAAAAAUUAAGAAGAACAUUUUAUAUGGCCCUAUUAUGGUUUUAAAAAGAACCAUAUACAAAAAAACAAAAAAGAGAAAAGGUUUAAAAUUCAGGCCGGUGGCUCUUAAUUUCUUUUUAUAAAUACACCAUUUGUAAAUUGAUGUUUACUGUUAUUUAUUUAUUUUAUUUUUUUUAAAUAUCAAUAGCAUUUGUAUUAAAAAUAUAUACACUGAAUAUAAUAAAAAAAAAAAUGAGAAUCGAAUCGAAUCGAGAGCUUGUAAAUCAAAAUCGAAUAGAAUUGAGACAUCUGAAUCGAUACCCAGCCCUUUGCAUAUAGGAUGGGGAAGGAGUAUUUUAACAUAGAAAAAAAUGCACAUAUUGUCUUCAACUUUGUUCUAAUCUAUUCUAAAUCUAUAGAAAAAAAAAAUGGAUGAAUGAAUAAAUAAUCAGUUUCCCUAUCACUGGAUGUGUUUACUGAGAGAGUCAGAGGGAGCUGGAGGAGAAGGAACCACGAGGUGCUGGAUCUGGCAAUGCUCUGAAAGAAAGACAGGGGGAGCUACAGCAGAGAGCGCAGCUGGUAUCACACGUAAACAUGAGCAAGAUCUCCAUUACCUCCAUGUCUCCACUCUACUAAAGCAUUGUGUUCUUUCUUGAGUUGGGGCAACUGGAUGUGGCCAUUAAGAAGCAUAAACUGGAGAUGGAGAAGAACGUGGAGUAUUUACAGGAAGCUCUGGAGAAGAGCCAGAAAGAGCUAAGAGAGAAAGACCAGCAGGAGAAAGAAGUUCAGCACCUGCAAGAAGAGAGGUCUGUGAUGGAGAAGCGUCCUACAGAGGCUGAGGUCAGACUCCAGGCCACCAUUACUACCCUACAACAGGAGCUUGAGCAGCAGGAAGAGGAGCACCACAAAGAUGUUUGGAGAAACAGAAAGUUUGUAGGACAGUUGAGUUGAUUUGCUGGAUCUGAACCUCUCUCUCUGUCUUCCAGCUUUCAGCUCUCCAGCAGACACGUGGGCAGCUGCUGAAGGUGUCGGAUCAGAUAUCCAGCAAACAGCUUGUCCUAUAGAUGCUGGAGCCUAUCCCAGCAUUUUGGACCAAUGACAGGGAAACAAACUGGCCAGUCCACCCCAGGGCUUAUAUUAAAGCAUUUACAUAUAAAAACAGUUCAUUUCUACAGUUAUAUUUUGAGAAAAGUGUAUGUAUAUGCAGCAGUAUGUUAUGUUUAUCUGUAAAUAUUUUUUUUUUUAAUGUAUUAUUAUAAUAGUAUUUGAGAACAAUUUUGUUAUACAAUUUUAUAAGAAUAAUAAUGACAAUUAUAAUAAUAAUGAAUUAAUAUAAUUAUAAAUGUGAUUGAUGAUUAUAUAUAAUUUAUUAAUAAUAUUUUUAGUAUUGUUGUUUUUGUUCUUAUUAAAUUAAAAGUUAACAAAAUAAGAAAUUACUAUUAUACUAUUUGUUAAAAUAAACAGCAUUUAUGGAAAUUAUACUAAUCUUUU